rnacentral:rRNA from 1 species
GAUGAACGCUAGCGACAGGCUUAACACAUGCAAGUCGAGGGGCAGCAUAGAAGUAGCAAUACUUUGGUGGCGACCGGCGCACGGGUGAGUAACGCGUAUGCAACCUACCUAUCAGAGGGGGAUAACCCGGCGAAAGUCGGACUAAUACCGCAUAAAACAGGGGCACCGCAUGGUGAUAUUUGUUAAAGAUUAAUUGCUGAUAGAUGGGCAUGCGUUCCAUUAGGUAGUUGGUGAGGUAAUGGCUCACCAAGCCGACGAUGGAUAGGGGAACUGAGAGGUUUGUCCCCCACACUGGUACUGAGACACGGGCCAGACGCCUACGGGAGGCAGCAGUGAGGAAUAUUGGUCAAUGGGCGAGAGCCUGAACCUGCCAAGUCGCGUGAAGGAAGAAGGAUCUAUGGUUCGUAAACUUCUUUUGCAGGGGAAUAAAGUGGAAGACGUGUCCUCUUUUGUAUGUACCUUGAGAAUAAGGAUCGGCUAACUCCGUGCCAGCCGCCGCCGUAAGAC